AUUCAAUACAUAGAUCUAAUUAUACGAUGCGUACCUUUUGAUGUCAUCCGUUCAGAGAUCUUGUUUGAUCUGCUCAGCACCGUGAUCCAAGAUUGCUGCGCUCCGUCUUUAAUCCAAUCGCGCUGCGGAAUCUGCAGGGAGUGCGAAGAGUAGACCCUUUCUCCUCUCUUCCUAUCCUUUCACAGGAUCACACAAAUUGAUGGAUUUGGGGAGAGGGUUUUGGGGGAGAGAGUCGAGGAGAAUAACUCUAGAGGGAGAGGGUUUUGGGGGAGAGAGUCGAGGAGAAUAACUCUAGAGAUCCUGUCCGUUUAUAGGCGAGAGCAGAGGGUCUACGAUGAGAUCUCAGAAGAUAUCCUCCCAUCAAGAAUAUCUCCGAGGAAUCGUUCCGUAGUGGACUUAGUCUUUAUUGGCUAAAAUAUCGCAACGGAACCCAAUUAGCUAUUCUAUCUUAUUCAAUUAUAAAAAUGGCCACAUAUUCUAACAAAUCUAUCCAGUGCUAUGCAUGAGACCGGUGUAUCGGAGGACGCGGCUCGUGGGCAUAUCAGGGGAUUAAUCAAGGGGAAUUGGAGAGCAAUAAACGGAAAUCGAAGUUUCACUUCGCCUUUUGAGGAAAACCUGAA
rnacentral:lncRNA from 1 species